rnacentral:lncRNA from 13 species
GUGUACUACAAUUAUAGUGUAGGUUGAAACAUGUCUUUGCAAACAUGUUUUUCCCUCAACUCAGUACUGAUUCACAUUUAACGUCUCUGCUAUUCCUAAUGGAAAAACAUGUAUGUACUAGCAUUAUUAAGUUUGUGUGCAGUGGGUUGAUACCGUAUUUGGUGACCUACCUUUAAACAGAGUGAUCACUGCCUCUGGUUUGGCGUCUGGAGCGAUGCAUGUGACAGUGUAGCUUUUCCCUGCUACCCAUGGCUCUGUUGUCUCCAGCUCAAAGUAAGGUUUAGAGGGAGGAACUGAGGGGAGAACAGAGGACUGGUGUCUUUAACAGUGGUUCUGGGUCGUCGUAAGAGAUAUACAGUACAGACUAGGCCUUGACCAGAAUUGGUGAUUCUGUUUACAGAUCACAGAAAAAUAUAUUGCAUAUUAAUGCAUUAAAAACAUUUGAGACCCUUAGAUGUUGAAGAAAGACAGUUGUACCAAGCCAAUAAGGCAGGUUCUGUUAUAUUCCUGGAGAAUCAGUGGGUCCAUAUCAUUAGUGUGGUGUACAGUAGAUAAGACUGGGAUGUGCAUACAGAGAUGGGUUGGUGAUGAAACGAGACAGAUGAUAAUCUGUUAUAGCGCCAAACAGUUCUCCUCUCAGAUCACCCCCCAGCUGAAUACGUGCUUACACAGCAGAUCAAAGCACUACCCACUCCUUUUCUCUUCCCCCCUCUCUGUGUCUCUCUCUCUGACUCCCUCACAUGUCACUUGCCUCGAGAGAAAGUUGGGAGAAAAAAAGAGAGACAGAAGGAGAGAAGACCUCCUUUCAAACUUCCACUGACUCAUCCUUCUGUCUCCUGAGAGCUCACAGAGAGACUGUGGUAGAGUGAGAAAAAGAGAGCGAAAGUGAGAGAGAGAAAGAGUAAGAGAGACAGUGCAUCUCUCAUAAAGAAGCCACUAGUCUUUGAAUAUGCGUAGGGAUUUGCAUGAGAGAGAGAGAAAAGCUGUGCUUACCUGUUGAGCAACGUCGAGGCCCCGGAGCCACUCUCUAUGUCUCGCCUGAUCUCACGAUGUCGCUUGGAACGAAAGUGUGCAGUGUGGAUAAGAAAGAAUGCCAAUAGGACUCUCCCACUCUCUGACUCCACACAUACUGUAUCAUCCUCUUCUUAGACAGGGAAAAACACAGGAGGAAGAGAAAGAGGAGUGUGUAUGAGGGUUAGGGGGGGUCAUCUUAAGGAAAAAUAGAUGACAAAAAAACAGCUGACAACAAAAAAGUGAUGCCACACUAGAUGGUUUACAUUGGCUAUGGAUAGUGAGUAUAUUGGCUAGGGAUAGUAAGAAUAUAGGCUACGGAUAGGGAGUAUAUAGGCUAGGGACAGUGAGUAUAUAGGCCAGGGAUAGGGAGUAUAUUGGCUAGGGAUAGGGAGUAUACUGGCUAGGGAUAGUGAGUAUAUUGGCUAGGGAUAGUAAGAAUAUAGGCUAGGGGUAGAGAGUAUAUUGGCUAGGGAUAUUGAGUAUAUUGGCUAGGGAUAGGGAGUAUAUUGGCUAUGGAUAGUGAGCAUAUUGGCUAGGGAUAGGGAGUAUAUUGGCUAGGGAUAGGGAUUAUAUAGGCUAAGGAUAGGGAAUAUAUUGGCUAGGGAUAGGGAUUAUAUAGGCUAAGGAUAGGGAUUAUAUAGGCUAAGGAUAGGGAUUAUAUAGGCUAAGGAUAGGGAUUAUAUAGGCUAGGGAUAGGGAGUAUAUAGGCUAAGGAUAGGGAAUAUAUUGGCUAGGGAUAGGGAUUAUAUAGGCUAGGGAUAGGGAUUAUAUUGUCACACCCUGACCAUAGUUUGUUUUGUAUGUUCUAUGUUUUGUUUGGUCAGGGUGUGAUCUGAGUGGGCAUUCUAUGUUGGAUGUCUUUGUGUCUGUUUUUGUGUUUGGGCCUGAUAUGGUUCUCAAUCAGAGGCAGGUGUUAGUCAUUGUCUCUGAUUGGGAGCCAUAUUUAGGUAGCCUGUUUUGUGUUGGGUUUUGUGGGUGAUUGUUCCUGUCUUUGUAUUUGUUGCACCAGAUAGGGCUGUUUUCGGUUUUUCACGGUUCUUGUUUUGUAUAUUGUUCAUUUAUCAUCUUCAUUAAAGAUGUAUCAAAAUAACCACGCUACNNNNNNNNNNCAUAC